rnacentral:lncRNA from 1 species
CGGAAGCCUGGCCCCGAGCGCUGUGCGGGGCGCCCGGGGACGCUCAGCGAGUGUCUGUCCCAGCCCUGAGCUCAGUGAAAGAUUGCAGAGUCCUGGGCCCACGAGAUCUGCCUGGUGUCCCCGCUUCACCAGGACUUCAUAUAAAGUCAGAUCUUCAGAAAGGACUUCUCUGUUAUUCCUACAAAAUCUGCAGUUCCUCCCCUGUCUCUGAAUCCCUCACUUAACUAUACUGAACUAUAAACUAAGACUUCUGAGAGUUAGUGAC